UACGUAGGGGGCAAGCGUUGUCCGGAUUUACUGGGCGUAAAGAGCGCGUAGGCGGAAGCUUAAGUGUGGCCUGAAAGCCCCCGGCUCAACCGGGGAAGGUGGCUGCAAACUGGGCUUCUUGAGGGGGAUAGGGGAAAGUGGAAUUCCGGGUGUAGCGGUGAAAUGCGUAGAUAUCUGGAGGAACACCGGUGGCGAAGGCGGCAUCCUGGACCGGCAUUGACGCUGAG
rnacentral:rRNA from 1 species